rnacentral:rRNA from 1 species
CGGGUAAUCUUGUAAACCGCGUCGUGAUGGGGAUAGAUUAUUGCAAUUAUUAGUCUUCAACGAGGAAUGCCUAGUAAGCGCGAAUCAUCAGUUCGCGUUGAUUACGUCCCUGCCCUUUGUACACACCGCCCGUCGCUCCUACCGAUUGGGUGUGCUGGUGAAGUGUUCGGAUUGAUCUUGACGGGGGUAACUCAGGCUUGAUUGAAAAGUUCAUUAAACCCUCCCACCUAGAGGAAGGAGAAGUCGUAACAAGGUUUCCGUAGGUGAACCUGCGGAAGGAUCAUUG